rnacentral:lncRNA from 1 species
GAAAAUUAUAGAGUGCCGCCUGGCACAUACACUUCAACUCAAAAUGUUGUAACAACCUCCAGGACCCCGAAACCCACGGGCAACACAGGCUAAGAGUAAAAACAUAACUUACGGCUCCAAUAUCCGUAAAUGUCUACAAUAACUGAAUACAUGAAAUGAAACUGCUAACUACAAGGUAGAGUAGAAAGAGACUCUUCGGAUUUGCGGACGCGACAGAUGCAUACCUCAAGUCUCCGAUUAUGGCUUUGAUAUCACUGAUAGUACGCCUGCCCGGAUGCACCUGGAUCUGCACAACAAAGUGUGCAGAAGAGUAGCAUGUGCGCCACAGCAGUACUCAGUAAGUGUCAAGCCUAACCUCAGUCGGGUAGUAACGAGGAAGGUCGAGGACCCUACUGAGAUAAACAUAAGAAUAAAUAUAAAAUGAAUAGACAGUAGGAAAUACAAUAAUCUCGAGUAUCCAGCAAAAUAAUAAGUAGAACGGAAAUAGGCUACAACUACAACUACAAUCUACGAAUACAAGAACAAUCACUACAGACUAUUUAUCAUCGGGGAUCUCCUGGUAUCCCGAGGAUCUCCUGGUAUCCUCAUCAUAUACACAAGGGAUCUCCAAGUAUCCCGAGGAUCUCCUAGUAUCCUCCCUUUAAUCACGAGGGCAUCGGGGAUCUCCUGGUAUCCCGAGGAUCUCCUGGUAUCCCCAUCAUAUACAGAAGGGAUCUCCAAGUAUCCCGAGGAUCUCCCAGUAUCCUCCAUUUAAUCACGAGGGAUCUUCAAGUAUCCUGAGGAUCUCCUAGUAUCCUCCAAUACAUCACGAGGGAUCUCCAAGUAUCCCGAGGAUCUCCUAGUAUCCUCCAAUUUAUCAAUCAUGUGCCGGGGAUCUCUUGGUAUCCCGCAUUUCCAAAUAUCAAAAUAGAAAACGAACAGGGGGAGCUUCCGGGAUGCCGUCCCGUAGUCCCAAUAGUAAACACAUCACAACAAAUUAAUAUUUAACAGAAAGAAGCUAAGUGCAGACAACAAGUAAAAUCUAAAGUCUAGCAUGCUUCACAAAAAGGCAGAUAUUGAAAUUUAGUCAAAUAGAGCAAAUAAGUUACUAACAUGUUUUCCUAAGCUGAAACAAGUGAAAUUGCAUUUUUAAUAGUUAAAUACGUGAAGAAACACAAACUAAAUAAGUCAAGUAAGGUGAAUUUUCAACAAGUAGCAUCCUAAGCCGAAAUAAGUGAAAUUCGCAUUUUUAACAGUUAAAUACGUGAAGAAACAGAGUCUAAAUAAGUCAAGUAAGGUGAACUUUCAACAAUUAGCACAAGUACACGCCCGUCACCUCGCGCACAAGGCAUUUAAACAACAGUAAAGGUGAAUUUUCAACAAUUAGCACAAGUACACGCUCGUCACCUCGUGUACAAGGAAUUUAAACAACAGUCAAGAUAUCGUUGGGGGAGAGGUCCCCCACACAAAGUUAGACAAGCCACUUACCUUGAACCGGUACAAAAAUCGCUAAGAAACAAUACCCUUGCCACGAGUAUCCGAUUCUGAGUGGCCCAAAUCCAUUCAAACUAAUUACAUAUUAUAAAUAACAUCACAAGUAACUAAUUUCACUAUUACAAUUAAAGAUAAGGCGCGAAAAUAGGUAAAAUAACCAAAAUGCCCCUCAUGCCAACAUCUCGGAAUCGAGUAAUUUUUGUAUUUUCAGAAACCCCGUACUCUCACGAGUCUAACCGUAUAAAAAUCUCCCAAAUCGGAGGUCAAAUGCCCCUUCAAAUCCUCACAACUAGGUCUAAGAACAUUACCACAAUUUUCAUUCUAAAUUUUGAAAUUAAAGGUUGAAAUCACGAUUAGAUUAGUGCGUUUUAGUCAUAAAGGAGUAAGGAAUCAUUACUCAAUAGUUGCCUCUGAAAAGCCCUCGAAAAAUCUCCCAAAACCGAGCUUUCUAGCUUGAGUUUUGGAAAAAAUGGAAAACGGGGUUCGUUUUUGAAAUGUUUAUAUCUGCCCAGGGAUUUUCUUCAGUGCGAUCGCAGAAGUGGCGAUGCGAUCGCGCAGAGUAAAAUGUGACGCCCUAGAAAAUUGGCCUAUGCGAACGCAGAAGGGGUCCUGCGAUCGCAGAAAAGGAACAAGUAAUGCUACGCGAUCACGACCUGGGUCACGCGAUCGCAUAGAAGGAAUUUGGGCCUGAGUCACCGGCUCAGUUAACUCAAUGCGAAAGCGGAAGGGCAAUGCGAUCGCGAGGAGGGGAAGGGCAAAGAUAUGCGAUCGCAACCACUAUAUUGCAAUUGCACUGAAGGAAACUGGGAGCCGUUCAAGAAUGCACUAUGAGAUCGCAUGAGGUCUGAUGCGAUCGCAAAGAAGAAAAACUCUGCAACAUCAUAACAGAAAAUCUGCUAUACUCUAAGUUCCAAAAUUGCUCCGUUAAGCAUCUGAAACACACCCGAGGCCUUCGGGACCUCAACCAAACUUACGGACAUAUCCCAUAAUGUCAUUCGUACCUAUCCUUAAACCACCUAAAACAAUGCCGAAAACUCGAAUUAAUCAAUGAUUUGAACUUAAAAACAGAAGGAAGCAAAACUAUGCGAUCGCGUACAAGAACCUGCGAUCACAUUGAAGGAAAAGAAGGCUUCCCACAAGAGGCACUUCUCCAUCGCAUGAGCACUUAUGCGAUCGCAGAGAAGGACUGGACCUGCAACACACAACAGAAAAUCUGCUACCUUCUAAGUUCUGAAAUUGCCCCGUUGAGCAUCCGAAACACACCUGAGGGCCCCGGGACCUCAACCAAACCUACGGGAAUAUCCCAUAAUAUCAUUCAAACUUGUACAAAUCCUUAAACCACCUAAAACAAUGCCGAAAACGCGAAUUAAUCAAUGAUUUGAGCUUAAAAUUUUCAAAACUUAACCAAACUCGCUUUCGAUUCAAAACCUAACCAAAACACGUCUGAUUGACCUGAAAUUUUGCACACACGUCCCAAAUGACAUGAAGAUGCUACAGAAACUUCCGAAAUCACGUUCCGACCCUCGGAUCAAAAAUUCACUAUUGGACUGGAAACUCAAAAAUUCUAACUUUUGGCAUUUCUAGCCUAAAUGAACUACGGACAUCCAAAAUACAUUCUGAACACGCUCCCAACCACGAAAUCACCUAAUGGAGCUAACAGAACCAUCAAAUUUCCAUUCCGAGGUCCUCUUCACACUGUUCUGACUGUUCUGAUUACGGAUCAUUUUCCAGCACUUAAGCUCUCAUUUAGGGACUAAGUGUCCCAAAACACUCCAAAUUCUAUUACCGUACGUCCCGGCAAACCCAAAAUAGCAUAAAUGAAAUUAGGGAAAGUAGUUAAUGGGGAAACGGGGUGUAAAUUCCAAAGACGAUCGGAUGAAUCGUAUAUAUAUAUAUAUAUUACCAGAUAAGACGAUUAAACCAUGUACUUAAUUGAUUUAUUUUAACUUGUAAAGUUAGUAUGCACAGAAAUUACAUUUUAAUAUCACAAACAAACUUAAAAUUCGCUAGUAAAAUUGCAUCGUAGAGAAAACCCAUCAAUUAGCUUUUAAGAAAUCUAGGUAUACCGACAUGAAAGAAAAGUCAAAAUUGCAAACACAAAGUACAGUGCCAUCGAACCUAAUUCUUGGUUAAGAAAGUUAUUUAUACUUAGCAGAGGCUGCUCAACACAGUUCGGGACCUAAAGCCAAGCAUUAAUGAGGGGCCUUAGGUUCUUUUGAAAAGAUUAUAUUUAAACUCUAGUAAAUAACAAAAAAUUAUAGUAUAUCUUUAAAGUAAAAAUAUAAAAAAUAAUAGAUUUUAGACUAAAAAAUAACCAAUUGUUAUAACAAUAGAACCUGAUUCAAUUGGUAAGUUGAUCCAAAUAACUUUAAUACUUUGUGCUUGAAAACCUGUAAAUCAUUCUUGUAGAAAAUCUGUCCCAAGUACAAGAUGCAAAAUAAGAAAUGCUUGGAAAGAAAGAAAAAAAUUUAUCAUUGAAAAAAUAUUCGUACUUACCAACUUUGUGUUUUAUCCCGCAAAGAAGGAUCACAGUAGUCUCGUAGUUCUUUUGACAGGAAGAAGUACGAAUUAUCAUAAAG